GGCCCCGCAACCCCUCAGGAGUUCCCCGUACGCAGGGUUUGGGUGUCCCCGGGGGUGUAGGUGGCUGUCUGGGUGUGUUGGGGAGGAAGCGGGCUGUGCCCUGUCCUCCUGCCCCGCAGGCGAGGGCUGGAGGGGAUGCGAAACGCCUUCGUGUGGUGCUUGUGAAUCUGGCUUUGAAAUUAAUGUGCUGUGAUGUGGUAGGGAGUAAUUAUAAACUGUGGAAGGUGGCGGACGCGCUCGCUCCUCGUCAGCCAGGAUCCGUGGACACGCACAAGUGUGUGGCAGAAAGGCGUUUUUUCACAGCUUUCCUCAGAUUUCCCAACAGAGGAAUGUCCUCAGACUGUACUGGUGGAAAAUGUGGAUUGAGAUUAUCCUGGAAGAACAGACUUCGACCUGCAAAAGAGGCACAGAGACCUUACUUUUCCCAAAUGAUUCAACGUGUCCUGAAGGUACUGCAUCAGCCCAUGAGGUGGCUUUGGCCCCUGCCUGUUUUGCUUUUGCCUGAGCCCCUUUUCAAGGUGCAGUGGAGGAGCCAGGCUUCGUGAUCCGAUUCCCAUCAGGACGGUUCCCUGCACACGUCUCUACGCACUCCCACUUCUGAAGCCUAAGACAGAACUUUGUGAGAGGGCUGCACAGGUCAGUCUCUGGGACUCCCAUGCCAACAAACACCUCUGUCAUUUACACACAUUCCUGUGCUGCCAAGCUGACAGCUGCUUGCUCACGUGGCGGGGCUGCACCAGCAAUGCACAACUGUUGAACCGCAGGAGAGCUGGCAAAAAAACCCCUCCUCUGCCCCGUGGACACUGGUGCUGCCUCUGACAUGGAGGAGGAAAUCUCUGUCCCUGACCUCCCCAGGAACAGCUCACCUAGGGUCCCGGUUUGUCUUGCCUCACCUACCAGGCUAUUAGUGUCAGGCUUUAACAAUCCGUUGCUGCUGCAGUUCCCAUAAAGGUGGAAAACACAAAGCCACCCCCACCCCCACAUUUGUGUCCUUAACUGCACAGGCCAAGUACAGAUAGAAAAUUGAACUUGUUCAUUUUGUUAUUGUUACUGAGAGAAACGCCAGGAGUGACUGUGUUUUUGGAACAAACAGUGCUUGUGACACGGGAGUGGUUCAUUCCUUCAGCUGGACCCACAGGUAGGAAAAUGGGGGGGAGGGGGAAAGCAAUUUUUCAUCAGCACACGAGAUAACUAGUCCAUAUUACAAGGUAUCACUCCUCUCAAAAGAGACAAACAUUUCACAUCAGUGCUGUGCCUCACCCGUGAUGCCUCCUGAAGAAGCAGAACCACCUCCAGGCUCAGAUGAAACCCAACCUUGCAGUCCCAACGCAGCUUUUGCUGAAUGGAAACAGGGUGGACCUGGGAAAAAAGAGGCUGGGAAGCUCAGCUUUCUGCACCUGUACUCACAAGGUGGGUAAAGACAGAGAUUGUUGUUGCUGAGAAGGCUGCACAAUGGUUUCUGUACGCACCUUCCCCACCUCAGCAGCAGCAGCAGCCUGCCUGUUUCCUUGCGGUGCUGGCACUAACAAAACAGGAGAAGACUCAGAUCUCCGUGUUCCCUUCUCUCCUACCUAUUGCCUGGGGCAGCUUCAGGCUCCUUUCCAAGAGAAGCCUCUGCUGUUGGAGCCGGAGUUCAACCACGUUACAAAAGCCCAUGGUGUCUUGAAACUAAGCACGCCCGCGGCUGCUGGGAAGUGAGCGAAGGCGCUCCGAGAACAGCCAGUUCCCUUCCUCGGAGAGAUCUCCCAUCAGUUGCCAGUUCCUGAACUUUGGCUCCAGCCAGGAGGCAGUCAGCAAAUCAGAUAAUUGCCUGGCAGUGAUUGAUACAGAGUCAAGGGUGAGUGGGGAGGGGGGGAAUGAGCGGGCAGGAUUGUGUUUCAGAGGGAAGUGUUUUUUUAGGAUUUGUCUCUGCAGGCAGCUGGGAGCUUUUCGAAGUCACAUUGGCUUAACCUGAGCAGGAGACUCGCUGUAGUUUUACACCUUUUCAGCAUUUCAGCUGGUUCUGCUGAAAUCUGUAUAGGGAUUAAAGAUGAGAAGGGACAGAAAAUUGGUUUCCCUGCCUUUACAGGAGAAAAAGUACUCAAGGCUAAAUGGAAGUUUAAUAUAUUUUGACUGUAUUAAUGCAGAGAGGAAGAGCAAGCGCCUGCCACUGAUAAAUAACUAUUAGGAAACAGUAUUAGAAAGUACUACCAAAAAGAAAUGGUGCUGCUAAGAUCUGCUUUCAGCAUUGGGGUGUUCACAACCAGGCUGCUCAAAAUUUACUUCGGUAUCAACAGCUGGUGUACAGCUUCUCUCAAACGCAGCACAGCAGCCCUGCUAGAGGAAGGGAGGUCAGCUCACUGCACAGCUGGACAUUUCAGCCCUCCAGUCAGCCAUACCUAGGGUUAGCAAGAGCAUCAUGUACCUCAGCAAAUUUACAUUCAAACUGUUAUCUACAAAGGGAAGUAACGCUUAUCUGUAGCCUAUUGCUGUAACUUUGAUACUGAUCUUUAUAGCCAUGUUUCCAGUAAGCCUAGAGAGAACCUGUGAGUUAUCAACUGCUUAAACUAAACUGUCUGAAUGUGGAGAUCUUAGUAAAAUUCCUAUCCAUCUUCUAAUUAAGGUUUGUGUUUUUACCAGGUUUGAGACGUAGUUGCAGAACUGUUCUAACACUGAGCUGGUGGGAGAUGUCUGCAGUUAGACACAAAUGGCGCUGCGUUAGAAAUGCUCUUCCAUUUCAAGCACGCAGCAUCACGCAGUGUGCUCUGCCCUGCAGCCCAUUCCCUCGCUUCCACUGGGUGCUUUCUCAAGGCAGUGUCUGCUGCACAGAAAGAGGGGACAGUCAUCUGGCAAAUUUUGUAUGGCAGAAUCUGAGACACGAGCAGCUUUUUAAACAUUUCCAGGCACCUUACCCAAAACUUUUCUCCUCCCACCACUGUUGUUGGAAAGCAGCUGCUCGUUCCUGAUCUCCAUCUUCUGUAUUUUAUCUAAAAGCACCAAAUGGAAUCGAGCAUGUUAAACAGCCAGAAUUUUAUUAUGCAAAAUGCAAAGCUCUCGGAAAACUUCAGCUUGGGAAGAAUAUAAUUAGGAUAAUUGAAAUUGGAAAAAGGAUCUGAAGUGCUAAAAAAAAAAGUGAAAGAAAAGGCAUUGGAGGGAUAGCUUGGUAGAAGGGAGAUAGAUGGCUUACAGUGACUAGUAAGAACUGAAAUAUCUUUCAGAGCAAGUCCUGCUGCAGGCUAUGGGCAGGUGAACCUGACCUGGUGGUGGCACAGCCAAGGUCCAAGCACUUGGAGCCCCAAACAACGGGACAGCACACGCCAAGAAGGGUCCCUCAGUGCCCAACUCAUAGCAGGUCUCCCAUUCCCCCUCGGCACAGGUUAUCGUUAAGCCAGGAGGCUGACAGCUUUCCUCACCAGGGUAGAGAAGAAGAGGCUCCUCCCUUCCAGCUGCCUGUCUGUCCUGCUGGCCAUAAAACUUCUGCAGCCUGACACAAAGCUACAGCUGCCACCAAUGGAAGCAGCAGCCCGUGGGCAGCAGCUGCUGUGCUCGCUUGCUUCCGACCUUGACUUCAGAUUUGCUGGUUUGUCCAUCUUGCUGACAGCCCCAGACAGCCACCUGCUGGGCAAACGCAUCGAAAAAAAAAAACCAACAAAACUAUCUAAAACAGCACUUAGAACCAGGACGGUUGUUUCAGUUCUUCCUAGCUUCCUAUGAGGCCAGGAGCUGCCCACGAUGCGUUAGUUGACAGGGCAGCUGGAACAGGCAGGUGUUUGGAAUUUUGAGAGUAUGCGCACAUCUGUCCCUCCCAACCCAUGUCAGUAUUCCCGGAAUGUAUAACUUAAGAG